ensembl:lncRNA
GGGUUCAGACGUCCUCCUGGCGGCCGUGGGGGCGGGGCCGAGGGAGAGGAGGGACGUCGGAGGAAGAGGGCGGGUCGACGGCGGGAUGGAUCAGACGAGGAGGAGCUGGGGGGGGCGGGCCUCCAGGCCAACGCCGCGGGGAGACGGGCGAGUGACAGCGUGUUCAGGGAGGGGAGUGAGAGGGUGAGAGAGGAGGUCUCCGCGUUCAGGGGGAGGUUCGGCGAGGGGGUGACCUCAUCGACCGGCGCCGGCCGCGACUCCGACCAAUCAGACGCCGGAUGGAGAGCAGCAGAGACCUCAGGAGACACGGGGUCUGUACCACACGGCCGGGGAGAGAUGGAAGAGAGUUUCUAUGAAUGUGUGGCUGGCGAGGGAGAAGAGGGAGCGACUGAUGAAGAGCGGGUCGGGAGUUCCUCCGGUGAUGUCACCCGCCGGGAGCUGGAGGUUCUCUUCGGCCUGUGGCAAAAAUAACCGCGGCAAAGCUCUUAACACAGUAGAGAGGCGGCGUCUCCACGUUAUACUACCCAUCUAGAACCACAGAACAAAUCGUAUUCACUCCGUUCUUUUUAAAGAGUCAGGCAGUCUGAUGGCCGUGGCUCUUCCCGGGUCACCAUUGGCCCGAGUCACAGCAGGUUGCGGCCGUUAUGUAAGGAGCAGAACGGGGACACACUCUGAAG